rnacentral:rRNA from 1 species
GACGGAGGAUGCAAGUGUUAUCCGGAAUGAUUGGGCGUAAAGCGCGCGUAGGCGGCUUUGUAAGUUAGAGGUGAAAGCCCGGAGCUCAACUCCGGAACUGCCUUUAAGACUGCAUCGCUAGAAUCGUGGAGAGGUAAGUGGAAUUCCGAGUGUAGAGGUGAAAUUCGUAGAUAUUCGGAAGAACACCAGUGGCGAAGGCGACUUACUGGACACAUAUUGACGCUGAGGUGCGAAAGCGUGGGGAGCAAACAGG